rnacentral:rRNA from 1 species
AGAGUUUGAUUAUGGCUCAGGACGAACGCUGGCGGCGUGCCUAACACAUGCAAGUCGAACGGGGUGAUUGUGGAAGUCCUCGGGGCGGAAGCUUCACUUAGUGGCGGACGGGUGAGUAACGCGUGAGCAACCUGCCUUUCAGAGGGGGACAACAGUUGGAAACGACUGCUAAUACCGCAUAACACACAGGGGGUCGCAUGGUCUCCGUGUCAAAAGAUUUUUAUCGCUGAAAGAUGGGCUCGCGUCUGAUUAGAUAGUUGGUGGGGUAACGGCCUACCAAGUCGACGAUCAGUAGCCGGACUGAGAGGUUGAACGGCCACAUUGGGACUGAGAUACGGCCCAGACUCCUACGGGAGGCAGCAGUGGGGAAUAUUGGGCAAAAGUGGGGGCAACCCUGACCCAGCAACGCCGCGUGAAGGAAGAAGGCUUUCGGGUUGUAAACUUCUUUUACCAGGGACGAAGGACGUGACGGUACCUGGAGAAAAAAGCCACGGCUAACUACGUGCCAGCCGCAGC